CGCUGGCGGAAGUUUUUGGCUAAUGCAGUGGUCGUAGUUUGCUACAUUAAGGAAACGGUGUUACAGGAAGUUUGCCCGUUCAAAAAUUUUAAUUAAGUGAAAAG
rnacentral:lncRNA from 1 species